GAUGAACGCUAGCGGGAGGCUUAACACAUGCAAGGUCGAGGGGCAGCAUAGGGUAGCAAUACUCUGAUGGCGACCGGCAAACGGGUGAGUAACGCGUAUGCAACCUACCCUGUACAGGGGGAUAACCCGGAGAAAUUCGGACUAAUAUCCCGUAAUAAUAUCCGGAGGCAUCUUUGGAUAUUUAAAGUUCCGACGGUACGGGAUGGGCAUGCGUAACAUUAGCUGGUUGGUAAGGUAACGGCUUACCAAGGCUAUGAUGUUUAGGGGUCCUGAGAGGGUGGUCCCCCACACUGGUACUGAGACACGGACCAGACUCCUACGGGAGGCAGCAGUGAGGAAUAUUGGUCAAUGGGCGCAAGCCUGAACCAGCCAUCCCGCGUGCAGGAAGAUGGCCCUAUGGGUUGUAAACUGCUUUUCCAGGGAGAGAAACUUACGCACGUGUUGCGUGACUGACGGUACCCUGGGAAUAAGCAUCGGCUAACUCCGUG
rnacentral:rRNA from 1 species